rnacentral:rRNA from 1 species
AGUGAACGCUGGCGGUAGGCCUAACACAUGCAAGUCGAACGGCAGCACAGUAAGAGCUUGCUCUUACGGGUGGCGAGUGGCGGACGGGUGAGGAAUACAUCGGAAUCUACUUUUUCUUGGGGGAUAACGUAGGGAAACUUACGCUAAUACCGCAUACGACCUACGGGUGAAAGCAGGGGAUCUUCGGACCUUGCGCGAUUGAAUGAGCCGAUGUCGGAUUAGCUAGUUGGCGGGGUAAAGGCCCACCAAGGCGACGAUCCGUAGCUGGUCUGAGAGGAUGAUCAGCCACACUGGAACUGAGACACGGUCCAGACUCCUACGGGAGGCAGCAGUGGGGAAUAUUGGACAAUGGGCGAAAGCCUGAUCCAGCCAUACCGCGUGGGUGAAGAAGGCCUUCGGGUUGUAAAGCCCUUUUGUUGGGAAAGAAAAGCAGCAGGUUAAUACCCCGCUGUUCUGACGGUACCAAAAGAAUAAGCACCGGCUAACUUCGUG